rnacentral:lncRNA from 1 species
AAGCUGCUGCUAAGCCCGGCGCCGCCGCCGCCGCCGCUCCGCCCGUCUGUCCGUGCGCCCCGCCUCCCCCAGAGCUAGGCGGAGCCGGGACCGGAGGAGCAGGCGGAGAGGUCGGAGCAGUCUCUGGUCGCCCGGACAGCCACAGUCCCUGGGCAGCUGCUGCGGAGGGAGAUUUCCUUGACCAUUUGAACCUGAAAACACGGUGUCGGACAGCCUCUUAUCGAUCCCGUCCAGAACCUCCCCGAAGAUGUCCAGCAAGACCACCAACACCAACAGCGUGGCCCAGGCCCGGCGAACCGUGCAGCAGCUGAGGUUGGAGGCGUCCAUAGAGAGGAUCAAGGUGUCCAAGGCGUCUGCGGACCUCAUGUCCUACUGCGAGGAGCAUGCCCGGGGGGAUCCUUUGCUCAUGGGAAUCCCGACUUCAGAAAACCCCUUCAAGGAUAAAAAAACGUGCAUCAUCUUAUAGGGCGUUGGGGAGCCCCCGGUGCCGCCCCCAUGAUCUAAGCAGCUCCAUGAAGAAACGUACCUUCCGCUCACUUGGUAACCACUGCUAAAAACGAAAAUGCUUUUAACUUGUAAAAACAAACAAACAAACAAAAAAUGAGUUUUAAAGCCUUUGUUUUUAAAAGUCUCCCUCUCUUUAGAGCAUACCCUUUACAAAAUGGAUGGGAAUCGGUCCGUUUGUCCUUGGUUUCAGUUGAAAUGACUCCAGGUGGUUCUUCUCUUAGGUCGGCUUCGGUUUGAGGGAUGCUGGUUGGGCUCGGCUUCUGUGUAAAUCCAUUGUCCAGUGAUCUGCUUUUUGAUUUGAGGGAAGACCAAAGUUGCCUCCUCCUCUUUCCAGAUCCCCCAGGCCCGCGGGUCUCUAAAACGCUUGCCCCCUCAGCACCCGUAAUCGGCCCGGUGCCUCUCUGUACAGUCCCCAAGUCUCGCAUGUGUUUGGCGUGUAUAUAUGACUUUGUAUAUAUACAUUUCAAAGUGCAGAUUUUCUAGCCCCCCGCCCCCGAGUUCUGCCUCUAGCCGGCCACCAAGGCCUCCGCCUACGGCUUCGGGGUGACGGGGACGGCCGCCCCCCAAGAGUCGUUUUCACGAUACCAAAUUCUGAUCACUUUCUCAUCGUCGUCACCCUCUUGUUUGCUUCUCUGGCCCUCACGGCCUAAAUAUAAACGGUGCCAAUUUAAGAGAGCGAAAAACAAACCCCUCUUGUAAUUCGAGGUGCUACGCUGUGAGGGCCCCCUUUGCUUUUACGGACCCAGCGCAGUCAGGAUACAGAAUCUCAAAAUCCCAGAGCCGGAUUGUCCAACCCGUGCCUAAACACGUAUCCUUUCUGUCACCCCUCCGGACAGGUCAUCCGCCUGCUCUGCCGGAGACCACGGACACCUCAGAGUUUUGUUUUUAAUUCAUAAAAUAAAAUUUAUAGGAUUACAACAAAGGAAAGCAGUUAUACCGAAAUUAUCAAAAUAGGAAAAAAAAAACAAGUUUAUGGACCCUCGUUAAAACCCCGGUCUAAUCCAGCCCAUUCCCCAUCUACACUAAGAAGUGGUCAUUGCUCAAAAACCUCCAUAAAGGUGAACCUCGCAAGGUGACCCAUUGGGAUAACCCAAAGGGCUAGGAGAUUUUUCCUAACCUCAAACCUAAAUUUGCUUCCCCUUGUUGCUCCUCGUUCAACCUUCCAAGGUCAAGCAGAAGGAGGGGAAGUGUAUUCAUGGGCCCAGUGACCAGAGAAGGGAGGUUGCAUGAAUGUGGUUUUCUCUACAAAAAAGGAAAUCAAUUAGCCUGCUAAUUGGGGGAGUCCGCCUCCUUCCUCUUGUAGGUCCAUCCAUUCUCUCUCCUCCCUCCCUUCCUCUUCCCUAAAUCUUACCUGUGUGUGGGUCUCCUCUCCUCCUCCCCUUACCUAAUCCCAGUUUGUAGAACCGCGGGCAGAAAAGGCCCAAGAUGUUGGUGGAGUGUCCCAUUCCUAGCAGCCCACCCUGCCCUGCUCUUCCUGGAGGCAAGACUAAGCAGUGUGAGAGAAGGCAACCCCCCCAAUAGAAAUACAAAGUAAAGAAGUCACCUUUCAUUCCCCCUCCCACUCAGGUCACUGCAGAGCUGAGCAGAGGACGUCCUGGGGACUUUUGGCUGGACUUAAAUGGCCCCCUCUGGGCCCAGCCCCUCCAGGCAGGUCAGGAGGGUCCUUAUGGACACAGACUGUGCACUGACUGCGCUAGACGCAUGGCAAUUCCCCUUCCCUCAUCUGUCACUCUGGGAGGCUGAUGCACUCUGACCCCUCACAGGCUUGAGCUGGGAGCCUUGGAGGCUCUCCAGAAAUGCGACUUGUUAGAAAAAUUCUUUACGAAUCCCAGUGGCCACGAACGCUGCUCCGGAAAGCCAGCCAAGGGGAUUCUGUCUAAUGGGCCCUUAGCAGACGCUCUUGGAGGCAGCAGCCCCUUUGAGGAGUGCUUUGUUCUAUCUGGGAGAAAAACCCUCCACAUCUGGAUUGAUCGUGGCCAUCAGACAGAUUCCCCUGCCUUCUUGUGGCGACUGUUGUGGAGGUUGGGAGCUUUGCCCUUCGUGCCUGGGAUUCGCCAUCACCCCUCACUACCAGCUUUGAAAACCGCUGCUCAGUGCUAUGGUUUGUCCCAUCCCCAAGUAAACGGAGGGCCUCCCCUCCCCAUGUCCAAAGCAAAAGGGUUACCCCCCCCUUCCAAAGCAUUAACUCGGCUGCGUAGAUGGGGAAAAAACCAUUCUCCCGGCCCCGACCCCCUCCUCACACUCUCCUCUUCUUCAAUGAUCUUAUUUUUGUAACGACCAUUUCCCAACUUAAUCCGUAUUUUCCAAUCUGAUUUUAACCACUAAUCAUGUAGAAUGCAGCCUGUUGCAAAAAGUGCAGUAGAGCUUGAUUCCAUGGGGACCCCGCCACUGAGGGUAGUCGCCCCUUACUCCGUAGUGUUAAACGGAUCCUUUAAUCUCUUAUUUCUAGUACUGGGCUUGCCCCGGCCAGGUCUGGCCCCUCUACCCCGCUCCACCUGCUCCUCCCCUGGCCUGCUGGAGAGCCUCCAGGCCUUCAAGCAUGGGCUCAGCUGCCCAACCAGCAGCCAAAGCCAAAUGACCCCAGAUCUAGACCUUGGCUUCUGGACCAAGACCGAAGUAAUAAUUCAGUGUUGACGGACCUAGAACCAAAAACAUUGUUGAUGUACCUAGAACCAAAAAGAUUAUAUGAGGAAAGAUAAUAUAUAUGUCUAUGCUAAACAGAAGUACAGAAGUCCCUUUUAUUUAACCGGCUCGAUCCCCCUUGUAAGGUUCAGCCGCUCUCGGAGCAGCUGCUGUGAUGAUUUGGGGCAGAUGUCUGGGUGUAUGACACCGUAAUGUUGACAGAGAUAUACGCCCACAGAUGUGUAUAUAUAAACUGUAACCCUCUGGCUUGGUUAUCACUGCACUUUCUACAGCGUGGGUUCAACGUAUGAACUUUGAUGGUAGUUUUGCCAAUAUGCUGUUUUCUCGGUUCGUCCCUUUCCCUCCAUCAUUCCAACACGUCUGUACAGUUUUUAUUUAAACUCGAGGUCUCAGUGCCAUGACCAUGUGCUAAAUAGAAUUUAUUGGUCCCAAAAUCUUUUACAGAAACACCUUUUGGACAGGGGAAAUAUUUUAUGUACCAGAUAAUCGAUUAACAAGUGAUACACUGUGUCUGCUUGCUCUUUUUUCCUACAAAAUCUGGUUUUUAAGUUCCCUGGGCGAAUUAAAAUCAAAAGUGCCAUAUUCACCUUUUAGAGAAAAGGUCUGGUGUUUGCUUUCAGCCCAAUUGAGACAAUUUUUAUACUUUUUUCAUCUAAACCACCAGAAGAAAAAUUUAUACCAAUAUUUUAGUGUAUAUAAAUGUGCAUAUGUUUUAACAGAUUCAUAGAGAUUUAUGGAAAUGCAGAGGCAUCUUUAAACCUGAGGCAGAGGCUAGAAAAACAAAUGGUGGAGGAUAUGUUCAGCUGUCUUUUCAGUUCUGUUAUAGCUAACUUUCUCGAUUUUAAAUGAAACGAGAAAAAUGGCAUUUAGCGAUCCGGUUACCCUGAAUUUCUUUUUUCUUUUGAGCUAAAACCUUCGAAAAGAUUCAUGGGCUUAGGAAGUGAAUUCUAACAUAAAUUAAUCCUUCCUUGCUGUCCGCCCUUAUACCAAAAGAUGAAUAUAUGACUAAGUGAGUGAGUAACAAUUCUCAAAGCUCUAAUUCGAAUAAUUAUGAGAAAAUCGAAUCUGGAAACUUCAGAUCGAAAUCUAUAAUUCCUGGCUUAUUGGCAGUGGUACGGAAAUUAAUCAAACCAUCCUUUUCUCUGAAUCAUAAACUGUCUCAGUUGGAAACGAUCCCAGAAGUCAUCUCGGCCAAGCCGUACUGGAAAAAGUGCUCCGGGACGACAUCCCCAAGUGUGGUCACCCGGUCCUUGCCCGACCGGGCAAGCCUCCCAGGCGAACCCUUCCGCUUUGGGAGCGUUCUGAUGGGUGGUGGGAAGAGAUUCCCGGCCUCCGGCCGCCACUGAUCUGUCUUCUGCCCUCCGGGGCCAAACGGAAUAAAUCUGAUUCUCCCUCCCCAGCCCCCUGAGCCAGGGCUCCAGGCCGCAUCCUCGGUGCCCCCCGGGCACGCGCUCUAAAGCACUGUUUUCAGAGAGGUUUCCCAGGGUUCCAAAGUCGAAGGCAGUAGGAUAGCGAGCCGGGACUGCCCGGCACCGGGUGACUCGCUUCCCGAUCCGGCCCCAGUCCCCCGGGCUGAGAAAGGACGGGCGAACCGGGUGACUUCUGGUCGUUCCAACUGGACAGACAGCUCCAUGGCCCCCCGACCCUCGCUCUCCCGCCGCCAUCUUCGUGCUGUGAGCCUCGCUGUGCUGCUGCUAUCUAAAUGUCGCUCCCCUCUCACGUCGCCCGCGCUAACGGCCCCCGAAAGUGUUUCUCCUGCCGCUAUUUUCUCACAGUUGGAAAACCUGCCUUUGUUACUCCCGUGGCGAUGAUGGUGUUUUGUUCCCUCCCGACUUUGUGGACUCCGUGACUUGCUUAAUGUUCUCUGUAUUGUUCGUGUGACUCCCCUGCGUGUCCUUUGGGUGUCCCCGAAAAUUUGCCUUUGAUUUCUAGUCCCUGAGACUCAGCCGUGUCAGAGCCUUCUCUGGCCCCUUGUAUGUUGUGUCGUGCGUAACCUUGACGCUGUGAUCAUCGUCCGAAAGACUGUCAAAGAUGGAAGCGUUUCUCUCCCAGCUCCUAUGUUCAAUAGCACGGAUACCAAUCAAACGAAUUAAAACAUCACGGCUUUCUAUUCUGCAUCGGCCUCCGCUUGUCUCAUUCUGUUCCCGGCGCUUCUCGGAGGGGUCCCUGGCCUUCCCGGGGCUGACAGAUGGACCGGCCCCAGGCCGCAACCCUCGCCCUCGGGACCAUCCCUCCUCCCUCCCCCGUGGUUCGGAGCCUCUCCCCCCACUUCCAUCCCUGGGGGAG